ACUUUGAUUAUGGCUCAGGAUGAACGCUAGCUACAGGCUUAACACAUGCAAGUCGAGGGGAAACGACAUCGAAAGCUUGCUUUUGAUGGGCGUCGACCGGCGCACGGGUGAGUAACGCGUAUCCAACCUGCCCAUCACUUGGGGAUAACCUUGCGAAAGUAAGACUAAUACCCAAUGACGUCUCUAGAAGACAUCUGAAAGAGAUUAAAGAUUUAUCGGUGAUGGAUGGGGAUGCGUCUGAUUAGCUUGUUGGCGGGGUAACGGCCCACCAAGGCAACGAUCAGUAGGGGUUCUGAGAGGAAGGUCCCCCACAUUGGAACUGAGACACGGUCCAAACUCCUACGGGAGGCAGCAGUGAGGAAUAUUGGUCAAUGGGCGAGAGCCUGAACCAGCCAAGUAGCGUGCAGGAUGACGGCCCUAUGGGUUGUAAACUGCUUUUAUAAGGGAAUAAAGUGAGUCUCGUGAGACUUUUUGCAUGUACCUUAUGAAUAAGGACCGGCUAAUUCCGUGCCAGCAGCCGCGGUAAUACGGAAGGUCCGGGCGUUAUCCGGAUUUAUUGGGUUUAAAGGGAGCGUAGGCCGGAGAUUAAGCGUGUUGUGAAAUGUAGACGCUCAACGUCUGCACUGCAGCGCGAACUGGUUUCCUUGAGUACGCACAAAGUGGGCGGAAUUCGUGGUGUAGCGGUGAAAUGCUUAGAUAUCACGAAGAACUCCGAUUGCGAAGGCAGCUCACUGGAGCGCAACUGACGCUGAAGCUCGAAAGUGCGGGUAUCGAACAGGAUUAGAUACCCUGGUAGUCCGCACGGUAAACGAUGGAUGCCCGCUGUUGGUCUGAAUAGGUCAGCGGCCAAGCGAAAGCAUUAAGCAUCCCACCUGGGGAGUACGCCGGCGACGGUGCAACUCAAAUGAAUUGACGG
rnacentral:rRNA from 1 species